CUACGGGUCGCUGCAGUGGGGAAUAUUGCGCAAUGGGGGAAACCCUGACGCAGCCAUGCCGCGUGUAUGAAGAAGGCCUUCGGGUCGUAAAGUACUUUCAGCGGGGAGGAAGGGAGUAAAGUUAAUACCUUUGCUCAUUGACGUUACCCGCAGAAGAAGCACCGGCUAACUCCGUGCCAGCAGCCGCGGUAAUACGGAGGGUGCAAGCGGUAAUCGGAAUUACUGGGCGUAAAGCGCACGCAGGCGGUUUGUUAAGUCAGAUGUGAAAUCCCCGGGCUCAACCUGGGAACUGCAUCUGAUACUGGCAAGCUUGAGUCUCGUAGAGGGGGGUAGAAUUCCAGGUGUAGCGGUGAAAUGCGUAGAGAUCUGGAGGAAUACCGGUGGCGAAGGCGGCCCCCUGGACGAAGACUGACGCUCAGGUGCGAAAGCGUGGGGAGCAAACAGGAUUAGAUACCCCAGUAGUC
rnacentral:rRNA from 1 species